rnacentral:sRNA from 1 species
GUUAAAAAGGAGGUUUUAGAAUAAAGUUAAUUGAGGGUCAGGCAUGGCGGCUCACGCCUAUAAUCCCAGCACUUUGAGAGGCCAAGGCGGGAGGAUCGCUUGAGCCCAGGAGUUCGAGACCAGCCUGGGAAAGAAGGUGAAACCUUGUCUCUACUUAAAAAAAAAAUCCUUUUGGCUGGGUGCGGUGGCUCACGCCUGUAAUCCUACCACUUUGGGAGGCUGAGGCAGGUGGAUUGCUUGAGCCCAGGAGUUCAAGACCAGCCUGGGCAACACGGUGAAACCCUGUCUUAAAAAAAAAAAAAGUUAAUUGAAACAUCAGGGUGUGUAUUUUAUUGUGAGUGGAAAAUUGGAUCUACUCCCUAUGACAUAGAGGGCUGCAUUGCUCUGUGGGAUGGUAUGAGAGAGGAAGGAGGAGGGAAGCAGAACCACUGGAGGCCCGAUAUUUUUCUUAAGUAUAAUGGGUUUUCUGGAAGGCUCAUGACCUGUUGGUUUCCAUUUCCAAAAAUCAUAAGAAUUGGGGUGUCAGUGAAUGUUUUGUGUCCCGCAGGUGAUGUGCGUUCAGAUUAAGUGUUUCCAUGAGAUAAUCACUAUUGGCUACAACGUCUACCACUCGUAUGAUCUGCCCUGGUUCAGGACCCUCAGCUGGUACUUUCUCCUGUGUGUAAACUAUUUCUUCUAUGGUGAGACAGUGACGGAUUACUUCUUCACCCUGGUCCAGAGAGAAGAGCCUUUGCGGAUUCUCAGUAAAUACCACCGGUUCAUUUCCUUUACUCUCUAUCUAAUAGGAUUCUGCAUGUUUGUACUGAGUCUGGUCAAGAAGCAUUAUCGACUGCAGUUCUACAUGUUUGGCUGGACCCAUGUGACAUUGCUGAUUGUUGUAACACAGUCACAUCUUGUUAUCCACAACCUAUUUGAAGGAAUGAUCUGGUUCAUUGUCCCCAUAUCUUGUGUGAUCUGUAAUGACAUCAUGGCCUAUAUGUUUGGCUUUUUCUUUGGUCGGACCCCACUCAUCAAGCUGUCCCCGAAGAAGACCUGGGAAGGCUUCAUUGGGGGCUUCUUUGCUACUGUGGUGUUUGGCCUUCUGCUGUCCUAUGUGAUGUCCGGGUACAGAUGCUUUGUCUGCCCUGUGGAGUACAACAACGACACCAACAGCUUCACUGUGGACUGUGAGCCCUCGGACCUGUUUCGCCUGCAGGAGUACAACAUUCCUGGGGUGAUCCAGUCAGUCAUUGGCUGGAAAACGGUCCGGAUGUACCCCUUCCAGAUUCACAGCAUCGCUCUCUCCACCUUUGCCUCGCUCAUUGGCCCCUUUGGAGGAUUCUUCGCAAGUGGAUUCAAACGAGCCUUUAAAAUCAAAGACUUUGCCAAUACCAUUCCUGGCCAUGGAGGCAUCAUGGAUCGCUUUGACUGCCAGUAUCUGAUGGCCACCUUUGUCAAUGUAUACAUCGCCAGUUUUAUCAGAGGCCCUAACCCAAGCAAACUGAUUCAGCAGUUCCUGACUUUACGGCCAGAUCAGCAGCUCCACAUCUUCAACACGCUGCGGUCUCAUCUGAUCGACAAGGGGAUGCUGACAUCCACCACAGAGGACAAGUAGGGGCCACCCAGGGCCAGGAGAACAGGAACAGAACUGAGCAGGGGCAGGUCUCCAAGGCAAGCCCAGCUGGUGUGACUUAGACAAUGACGAGGCUUCAACUCACUGUCUUUUUUUUUUUUUUUUGGGAGGGUAUUUUUUAUUUGUGGGUUCAAAAAAUCUGUAUAUACAGUCUAUGUGUUUAGAAUUUGUGUUGUAAGUAAACUACAGCUUUGAGUUGGAAAGAAGUCACGGGUUGUAAAACCAUUUGGAUUUUUUUAAAACAAAAGUAUUAAUAAUCUGGAAGACAGUGUUGCCCAGGUCAGGAGUGUUUUCUUGGUGGUUCCAGCCCCCAUCAAUUGAACUGUUUCUGGGCUCAGUCAGACACAGACAUUCAUCUGUGUCUGACCAAAUCAGGGGACUUCCCCACCUGUGGUGGGAGGCACAGCUUAGAUGUUUUGUACACCUGGUCUUUUCUAGAAAUCCCUGCUUGGAGCUGCAGAAGGGUUGCCUUCUGUAGGUCGGAGGAAUGGAGGCUUACUAACCAGGUAAGCCUUCUAUGCAUCCACACCAAAAUCCUGCAGAAUGUAAGUAAGCUCUGCUUUAUAAGAUGGGUUCACCUUCAUCGCAGACUGAAAGUUUCAGUUUUUAUUUUUUUCAGAAAGCACGAAAAAUUAUUUAUAAUAGUCUGGAGAAAAAACACACUGUAAUAUUUCAAGUGUAUGCAGUAGAAUGUACUGUAACUGAGCCCUUUCCCACAUGUCUAGGCUCCAAUGUCUCCUGUAGGUCCACCUAACUGUGUGUUUUCAGGGACAAUGCCAUCCAUGUUUGUGCCGUAGACUUGCUGCUGCUGAAUUCUUUCUGGAGACUUUCUCAUCGGACAGGGAGCAGAGGGCUUCUCGUUCAUGCACCCUUUGCCUGAACACCCAUGUAGCUGCUGUGUUGUGUAUAUAUUACUCUUAAGAGGAGUGUGUGUGUCUGUGUUUGUUUUAAAAGUCACUUAUUUCUUACAGUGAUUUCAAUUGCACCAUGACUUCUUCACUAAAACCACAAAGUCCUGCUUAAAACUAUGGAAAACCUAACCUGAUUAGAGGCUUGACUAUUUUGAAGAUUAAAUGCACACUUUUUAUAUAAUGUGACCAGUU